CCUACGUGAGGCAGCAGUGGGGAAUAUUGCGCAAUGGGCGAACGCCUGACGCAGCGACGCCGCGUGAGGGAUGAAGGUCUUCGGAUCGUAAACCUCUGUCUGCAGGGAAGCACGGUCACUGUGCUAAUCAGCAGUGAAUUGACGGUACCUGCAAAGGAAGCACCGGCUCACUCCGUGCAAGCAGCCGCGUUAAUACGGAGGGUGCGAGCGUUAAUCGGAAUUACUGGGCGUAAAGCGCUCGUAGGCGGUAUGUCAAGUCAAGGGUGAAAUCCCCGCGCUCAACGUGGGAACUGCCUUUGAAACUGGCAAACUGGAGUGUGUGAGAGGAUAGGGGAAUUCCAGGUGUAGGAGUGAAAGCCGUAGAUAUCUGGAGGAACAUCAGGGGCGAAGGCGACUAUCUGGCACAUAACUGACGCUGAGGAGCGAAAGCGUGGGUAGCAAACAGGAUUAGAUACCCCAGUAGUC
rnacentral:rRNA from 1 species